UACGAAGGGGGGCUAGCGUUGCUCGGAAUCACUGGGCGUAAAGGGCGCGUAGGCGGCCUUCUAAGUCGAACGUGAAAUCCCCGGGCUCAACCCGGGAACUGCGUCCGAUACUGGAUGGCUUGAAUUCGGGAGAGGGAUGCAGAAUUCCAGGUGUAGCGGUGAAAUGCGUAGAUAUCUGGAGGAAUACCGGUGGCGAAGGCGGCAUCCUGGACCGACAUUGACGCUGAUGAGCGAAAGCUAGGGGAGCAAACGGG
rnacentral:rRNA from 1 species